rnacentral:rRNA from 1 species
GUCGUGACUGCGUGCCUUUUGAAGAAUGAGCCUGCGAGUUAGCGGUGUGUAGCGAGGUUAACCCGUGUGGGGAAGCCGUAGCGAAAGCGAGUCCGAAUAGGGCGAUUGAGUUGCACGCUCUAGACCCGAAGCGGAGUGAUCUAGCCAUGGGCAGGUUGAAGCGGAGGUAAGACUUCGUGGAGGACCGAACCCACCAGGGUUGAAAACCUGGGGGAUGACCUGUGGUUAGGGGUGAAAGGCCAAUCAAACUCCGUGAUAGCUGGUUCUCCCCGAAAUGCAUUUAGGUGCAGCGUCGUGUGUUUCUUGCCGGAGGUAGAGCACUGGAUAGGCGAUGGGCCCUACCGGGUUACUGACCUUAGCCAAACUCCGAAUGCCGGUAAGUGAGAGCACGGCAGUGAGACUGUGGGGGAUAAGCUCCAUGGUCGAGAGGGAAACAGCCCAGAGCAUCGACUAAGGCCCCUAAGCGUACGCUAAGUGGGAAAGGAUGUGGAGUCGCAGAGACAACCAGGAGGUUGGCUUAGAAGCAGCCACCCUUGAAAGAGUGCGUAAUAGCUCACUGGUCAAGUGAUUCCGCGCCGACAAUGUAGCGGGGCUCAAGCGUACCGCCGAAGUCGUGUCAUUGCAGCAAUAGGGCCAACGCCCGCUGUGAUGGGUAGGGGAGCGUCGUGUGCCGGGUGAAGCAGCAGCGGAAGCUAGUUGUGGACGGUUCACGAGUGAGAAUGCAGGCAUGAGUAGCGAUACACACGUGAGAAACGUGUGCGCCGAUUGACUAAGGGUUCCUGGGUCAAGCUGAUCUGCCCAGGGUAAGUCGGGACCUAAGGCGAGGCCGACAGGCGUAGUCGAUGGACAACCGGUUGAUAUUCCGGUACCCGCUUUGAAACGCCCAAUAUCGAAUCAGGCGAUGCUAAGUCCGUGAAGCCGUUCCGGACCCUUCGGGGAAUGGAAAGUGGUGGAGCCGACGAACCAGACUUGUAGUAGGUAAGCGAUGGGGUGACGCAGGAAGGUAGUCCAGCCCGGGCGGUGGUUGUCCCGGGGUAAGGGUGUAGGCCGAGGGGUAGGCAAAUCCGUCCCUCAUAUAAGGCUGAGACCUGAUGCCGAGCCGAUUGUGGUGAAGUGGAUGAUCCUAUGCUGUCGAGAAAAGCCUCUAGCGAGUUUCAUGGCGGCCCGUACCCUAAACCGACUCAGGUGGUCAGGUAGAGAAUACCGAGGCGUUCGGGUGAACUAUGGUUAAGGAACUCGGCAAAAUGCCCCCGUAACUUCGGGAGAAGGGGGGCCAUCACUGGUGAUCGGACUUGCUCCGUGAGCUGGGGGUGGCCGCAGAGACCAGCGAGAAGCGACUGUUUACUAAAAACACAGGUCCGUGCGAAGCCGUAAGGCGAUGUAUACGGACUGACGCCUGCCCGGUGCUGGAACGUUAAGGGGACCGGUUAGUGACCUUUCGGGGUUGCGAAGCUGAGAACUUAAGCGCCAGUAAACGGCGGUGGUAACUAUAACCAUCCUAAGGUAGCGAAAUUCCUUGUCGGGUAAGUUCCGACCUGCACGAAUGGCGUAACGACUUCUCGACUGUCUCAACCAUAGGCCCGGUGAAAUUGCACUACGAGUAAAGAUGCUCGUUUCGCGCAGCAGGACGGAAAGACCCCGGGACCUUUACUACAGUUUGAUAUUGGUGUUCGGUUCGGCUUGUGUAGGAUAGGUGGGAGACUUUGAAACCCCAACGCCAGUUGGGGUGGAGUCGCCGUUGAAAUACCACUCUGGUCGUGCUGGAUGUCUAACCUCGGUCCGUGAUCCGGAUCAGGGACAGUGUCUGAUGGGUAGUUUAACUGGGGCGGUUGCCUCCCAAAGGGUAACGGAGGCGCCCAAAGGUUCCCUCAGCCUGGUUGGCAAUCAGGUGUUGAGUGUAAGUGCACAAGGGAGCUUGACUGUGAGACCGACGGGUCGAGCAGGGACGAAAGUCGGGACUAGUGAUCCGGCGGUGGCUUGUGGAAGCGCCGUCGCUCAACGGAUAAAAGGUACCCCGGGGAUAACAGGCUGAUCUUCCCCAAGAGUCCAUAUCGACGGGAUGGUUUGGCACCUCGAUGUCGGCUCGUCGCAUCCUGGGGCUGGAGUCGGUCCCAAGGGUUGGGCUGUUCGCCCAUUAAAGCGGUACGCGAGCUGGGUUUAGAACGUCGUGAGACAGUUCGGUCCCUAUCCGCUGUGCGCGUAGGAAUAUUGAGAAGGGCUGUCCCUAGUACGAGAGGACCGGGACGGACGAACCUCUGGUGUGCCAGUUGUCCUGCCAAGGGCAUGGCUGGUUGGCUACGUUCGGGAGGGAUAACCGCUGAAAGCAUCUAAGCGGGAAGCCUGCUUCAAGAUGAGUAUUCCCACCUCCUUGAGAGGGUAAGGCUCCCAGUAGACGACUGGGUUGAUAGGCCAGAUGUGGAAGCCCGGUAACGGGUGAAGCUGACUGGUACUAAUAGGCCGAGGGCUUGUCCUCAGUUG